UCCGGUUUAACACCGGCAGUCUCCUUAGAGUGCCCAACUAAAUGAUGGCAACUAGGGACAAGGGUUGCGCUCGUUAAGGGACUUAACCCGACAUCUCACGAUACGAGCUGACGACAGCCAUGCAGCACCUAUACCGCCGGCCCCCGAAGGGGAGACUCUAUCUCUAGAGUUGUCCGACGUUGUCUAACCCAGGUAAGGUUCUUCGCGUUGCAUCGAAUUAAACCACAUGCUCCACCGCUUGUGCGGGCCCCCGUCAAUUCCUUUGAGUUUUAACCUUGCGGCCGUACUUCCCAGGCGGGGUACUUAAUGCGUUAGCGUCGACACUGCAGGGGUCAAUUCCCGCAACAUCUAGUACCCAUCGUUUACGGCGUGGACUAC
rnacentral:misc_RNA from 1 species